CAGUAUUAGGUGUAAAUGGAACUUCAAUCAUUUUCAGAAUUUUGUCUCUCUUUUCUUGCCCUUUCUAGUGCUCAGCUAUUUGGCCUAUGUGAGCUAUGAGAUUUGUUUAUUGAGACUUCAAUAAAAGCAGGUUAGGGGAGAAAAGAGAAGAAAAUUAAAUUCAUGUAAACAAGAAAAGUUGGGUCUUUAUAGCAUUACUCAGGAUAAACAUUUUGCCUGAAUUAUGAAUAAGUAACAGGUCUAGCUCACUUAAAAUUGAAUAUUCAAUAUAUGAACGGAAAUCAACCCAUAGGCAAAGUGUAAAAAUUACUAGACUAUUCUGACUUUGCAAGAGAGAGAAAGAGAGAAGUGGUAGAAGAAGCAACACAAGGAAGGAGGAGGAGAAGAAGAAAUAGAAGAAGAUGUAUAGCACUUGGUACGUACUGACCUUGAUUGUUACUACCAGUAGAUGGUCGAUUGGUUAGUUGAACAGCAGUUUGUUGUGCAGAGGAAGCUUCCACAGGUGAACGAGCACUGAACCUUAGCAUGUCAGGAUCAAGUCGCAAUUCUGGGUUCAGACGCUGAAUUCGUGCGACGACGUUCAUUAUAAUUUCUUGUUCCAUAGCAUCCUUUUGUUCGUUCAACUUUUCCUGCAUUCUUUGUUGCAUCCUCUCUUCCAUUUCCUCCAUUUUCUGCUGCAUCCUCUCAUCACUAGCGUCUGAAAAUGAUCCAAGAUUUCCUAUUUUUCCUUUUAAGACAGUCUUAUUAACCCCUCGUCUAUACAAUCUCACGCGACCUGGAUGUUCAGGUCUCAUGACUGACGCAAAAUCGUCAACUGAAUGACUGCCAUCUUCACUUUCUUGAGUUGAUUGUAUUCUAUCUAUUUCAGCCUACAAACCAAAUGCAAGAGAAAAAAGUUUA
rnacentral:lncRNA from 1 species